rnacentral:lncRNA from 1 species
CCGGCCCGGGCUUAAAAUACCCAAAUUACUCAGCGCUAAAUAUAGUUCCGGCUGCGAGCACCCGGCUUGCUGCGCUUGGAAGCCCGUGGGGGGUCCCACCAGCACCCUGGAGAGGGUCCCCACGGCCAGCACAGCUCCGGGGACAGAGGCUCCUGGCCAGCAGGGUGCAUUCCGCACAUACAACACAACGGAAAGCCAAGGCCACUGACCCAGGACCGGCAGGCCGGGAGGGGAUCUCUUUCAGCGCUCACCACCGUCGCAGGGUCCCACUCAGAAGCCAAGAAACCAAAGUCAA